AUUGAACGCUGGCGGCAGGCUUAACACAUGCAAGUCGAACGAGGGGCGGACGGGUGUGUAAUGUCUGGGAACCUGCCUGAUGGAGGGGGAUAACUACUGGAAACGGUAGCUAAUCCCGCAUACCAUCGGAUGUGCCCAGAUGGGAUUAGCUAGUAGGUGGGGUAAUGGCUCACCUAGGCGACGAUGACUAGCUGGUCUGAGAGGAUGACCAGCAACACUGGAACGGAGACACGGUCCAGACUCCUACGGGAGGCAGCAGUGGGGAAUAUUGCACAAUGGGCGCAAGCCUGAGGCAGCCAUGCCGCGUGUGUGAAGAAGGCCUUCGGGUUGUAAGGCACUUUCAGCGGGGAGGCGUUACCCGCAGAAGAAGCACCGGCUAACUCCGUGCCAGCAGCCGCGGUAAUAC
rnacentral:rRNA from 1 species